rnacentral:rRNA from 1 species
UGGGGAAUAUUGGACAAUGGGGGGAACCCUGAUCCAGCCAUGCCGCGUGUGUGAAGAAGGCCUUAUGGUUGUAAAGCACUUUAAGCGAGGAGGAGGGUACUGGUAUUAAUACUACCAGGUACUGGACGUUACUCGCAGAAUAAGCACCGGCUAACUCUGUGCCAGCAGCCGCGGUAAUACAGAGGGUGCGAGCGUUAAUCGGAUUUACUGGGCGUAAAGCGUGCGUAGGCGGCUAAUUGAGUCGGAUGUGAAAUCCCCGAGCUUAACUUGGGAAUUGCAUUCGAUACUGGUUAGCUAGAGUGUGGGAGAGGAUGGUAGAAUUCCAGGUGUAGCGGUGAGAUGCGUAGAGAUCUGGAGGAAUACCGAUGGCGAAGGCAGCCAUCUGGCCUAACACUGACGCUGAGGUACGAAAGCAUGGGGAGCAAACAGG